CCUACGGGAGGCAGCAGUAGGGAAUCUUCCACAAUGGACGAAAGUCUGAUGGAGCAACGCCGCGUGAGUGAAGAAGGGUUUCGGCUCGUAAAGCCCUGUUGGUAGUGAAGAAAGAUAGAGGUAGUAACUGGCCUUUAUUUGACGGUACUUACUUAGAAAGUCACGGCUAACUACGUGCCAGCAGCCGCGGUAAUACGUAGGUGGCAAGCGUUGUCCGGAUUUAUUGGGCGUAAAGCGAGUGCAGGCGGGUCAAUAAGUCUGAUGUGAAAGCCUUCGGCUCAACCGGAGAAUUGCAUCAGAAACUGUUGAACUUGAGUGCAGAAGAGGAGGGUGGAACUCCAGGUGUAGCGGUGGAAUGCGUAGAGAUAUGGAAGAACACCAGUGGCGAAGGCGGCUCUCUGGUCUGCAACUGACGCUGAGGCUCGAAAGCAUGGGUAGCGAACAGGAUUAGAUACCCGGGUAGUC
rnacentral:rRNA from 1 species